CCGUUAGGUCAAAUGUCAUAAAUUCAGUUUCCUAGCCAUUGUCGCCCUUAGUGAGGCCUCUGUUAUUAGGUAUCCAGGCUUCUUUUGAAGCCAUAAUUAGGAUCCAGUACCUCGGGUGGCGCAAUGGGUAGAGUUAUGCUGUUAUUGAUGACCAGCCUGUGCGUACUCGCCAUGACAACAGACGUUCAAGGUCAACGAGGCACGCCUCAACCUCUGGCCCCUCCUCCACCGCGGCCAUUUUACCAGCGUUCCAACAACUUCUUUGAACCCUGGAUGAUGAUGGACUUUAUGAAUGGUGGAGAACUUUUUUCAUUUCGCCGGCGUUGAUGAUGUUUACUACGACGGAAACUGUAUCAAGCAUCCCCUAAUUUGACUAAACACCUGAGAACAAAUACUGGUCUUUCUUGAUGGUGGUACAGUCUUGUACUUUGUACUUUUAAUAAUAAAGUUGCGAACGGA